GGGACGGGGGGAGCCGCGUUCUUCUACCCCCGCUCCUGCCCCGCCGCCGCGGCGGCCUCCGCCGCUGCCUGGCUGAGGGGAGAAGGGGCGAGGGCAAAGCUCUACGUGUUUAUUAGCGGGCGGGCUGAGGCAGAAGAUGUCGGAACGGCAGAGGCGGGGCGGGCGGGAAGGCGGCAGGCUGGCGGCUGAAAGGCGCUUUCUCUGCGAGGAGCGAUGGCAAGAGGAGUGUUGUCAACGCGAGGACAAGCGAGGGAUGAUGAUGCCUGCAACCUAUGGCUGAACUGGAGGUAAUUCACUAGUGGAUCAAUAACGUACCGAAGGUUCCUGAAAGGCUGCAACAUUGUACAGAGCCUGAUUAGAGGUUAAAACAUUGGUUUAUUUAAUGCUUGGUAGCUUGACGAUACCGAAUAAACGUUCUGAUUCGUGCUGUAACUAUUUGCUGCUUGCAGUCAUAAAGGAAAAGAAAAUAAAAACAAGCAAGUAAUUUUUGCUUUGUUUAAAGGUAACUAUCGUUACCACUGAUAACUACUUUUAAAAAACAAAUCCGUGUCCGACAAGGAAAGGGGUAUAAAGGAGUAUAAUUACUUUAUGGUUUGCAAUGCAUCUAUGCUUUUUCAGGUCGAGUUUGGGCCUUGCCAGAACAAACAUGUUUGUGGACAGUAAGAGUGAUUGUAUCAGGGAUCGGUGUAAACAGGGGAAGCUGUUAUUUUUUAGUAUUAUUGUGCCCCAUUUACUAACUAAUGUGACUCGUGAGGCAAAGCCGAAAAUAUGUUUGAAAUUAUACAGGAAUUAGACAAAGAAUGCUGUGUAUGUAGAGACCCUAAAGCUCCCAAUUGCGUAACUUUUAACAAAAUUCGAUUUAAAGCAUGUUUCUGUGCAGCUGAGGAGAGGCUGAGUUGAGCAUUUUCACAUGUAUGUUUCCAAGGCUCUGAGGUUGCCGUACAAGCCUGCUGCUUGAGCUUUGUGCUUGGCACGGUGAGAAAGCUGCUGCGACCACGCUUCAGCUUUAUUGCACAAACAUACCCGUGGAAGGUUAGAGAAGGGAGGCUGAAAUGUCAGGUAUUUCCGUGAAGUCCUCUUAUAAAAAGUGAAAAAAAUCAGAUUGAUGUAGCAGAUGCGGUGUUGCUGUGCAUUUUGACGUACUGUUAUCAAAUGUUCUAAAAAUCAUUAAAAUCAUAAUCCAGCAUGUCGGUUGUAAUCAUCAGGGUAAAUGUGUUUUGUAGGACAAUUUUUUUUUAAGAUGUAAACUCUUGUAUGCUGGGUUUGAUCGCUUUAUCUGUAGCCAGGCUCGCGUUAUAUAUUUAAAAAUGUAUGUGUGUGUCCCUUUUCCCAGUUUUUUCGAACAAUAACUGCUCCAUGUUUCAGCUGUAUUUUAAAUCCACACAUCACAUAAUUGAAGUGGCAAUGAAAUAAUAUUUACCAUCUAAUAAAGAUUUAAAACAUAAA